UACGUAGGGGGCAAGCGUUGUCCGGAGUCAUUGGGCGUAAAGCGCGUGUAGGCGGCUCGAUAAGUCUGCUGUGAAAGUCCAGGGCUCAACCCUGGGAUGCCGGUGGAUACUGUCGAGCUCGAGUCCGGAAGAGGCGAGUGGAAUUCCUGGUGUAGCGGUGAAAUGCGCAGAUAUCAGGAGGAACACCAAUGGCGAAGGCAGCUCGCUGGGACGUGACUGACGCUGAGACGCGAAAGCGUGGGGAGCAAACAGG
rnacentral:rRNA from 1 species